AGAUAUUAUGAAGAAAUUCUUUACUAAGCAGGUGGUGAGUCACUGGAACAGGUUGCCCAGCGAAGUCGUGGGUGCCCCACCCCUCGAUUUGUUCAAGGCCAGGCUGAAUAGGGCUCUGAGCAACUUGGUCUAGUGGAAGGUGUCACUAC